rnacentral:rRNA from 1 species
AUUGAACGCUGGCGGCAUGCCUUACACAUGCAAGUCGAACGGUAACAGGUCUUCGGAUGCUGACGAGUGGCGAACGGGUGAGUAAUACAUCGGAACGUGCCCGAUCGUGGGGGAUAACGAGGCGAAAGCUUUGCUUAUACCGCAUACGAUCUACGGAUGAAAGCGGGGGAUCUUCGGACCUCGCGCGGACGGAGCGGCCGAUGGCAGAUUAGGUAGUUGGUGGGAUAAAAGCUUACCAAGCCGACGAUCUGUAGCUGGUCUGAGAGGAUGAUCAGCCACACUGGGACUGAGACACGGCCCAGACUCCUACGGGAGGCAGCAGUGGGGAAUUUUGGACACUGGGCGAAAGCCUGAUCCAGCCAUGCCGCGUGCAGGAUGAAGGCCUUCGGGUUGUAAACUGCUUUUGUACGGAACGAAAAGCCUCUUUCUAAUAAAGAGGGGUCAUGACGGUACCGUAAGAAUAAGCACCGGCUAACUACGUG